CUAUAGGGGCCCCGCCCGUAGCCACACCCACACCUUUAUUUCCGCCAAUCACAGUCUUGGCCCCUCCCUCUGGAUCCAGCCUCCUUCCGGCGUCACCACCCUCUUCCCCUAGCUGCCUGCAGAGCCUGGAGACCACGAACUGGGGACUAUCAUGCCUGACCUGAAUGAAUCCCCCUCAGCAAACCUGCCAUCCUCAACAAACAACAGGAAACCACUAAAAAUCCAUGCUGUCCUCAGUAAACAGCACAGAGGGCCAUAAGGAAAACUGAGGACCAAAGGCACAAUCUCCCCAGUGUGCAGUAGUCCAAUAGUAUCUGCUCACCCGCCCUGACCAUCCUGGGAGCCUGGACCACAAGCAUUCCACACAGAUUCCUUAAGGCAGCACCCCUUCCCAAGCCCUAUAAAACUUUGCUUCUUCUCUGGCCAUUUGCUGACAUCUUUCUUGAUCUUAGCCCAUCCGCACUGGGUAGAGAAUAAACCAGCCUUUUGCUCACACAAA